CCUACGGGAGGCAGCAGUGGGGAAUAUUGGGCAAUGGGCGCAAGCCUGACCCAGCAACGCCGCGUGAAGGAAGAAGGCUUUCGGGUUGUAAACUUCUUUUGUCAGGGACGAAGCGAGUGCCGGUACCUGACGAAUAAGCCACGGCUAACUACGUACCAGCAGCCGCGGUAAUACGUAGGUGGCAAGCGUUAUCCGGAUUUCCUGGGUGUAAAGGGCGUGUAGGCGGGACUGCAAGUCAGAUGUGAAAACCACGGGCUCAACCUGUGGCCUGCAUUUGAAACUGUAGUUCUUGAGUACUGGAGAGGCAGACGGAAUUCCUGGUGUAGCGGUGAAAUGCGUAGAUAUUAGGAGGAACUCCAGUGGCGAAGGCGGUCUGCCGGACCGCAACUGACGCUGAGGCGCGAAAGCGUGGGGAGCAAACAGGAUUAGAUACCCUAGUAGUC
rnacentral:rRNA from 1 species